GUGGGGAAUAUUGGACAAUGGGCGCAAGCCUGAUCCAGCCAUGCCGCGUGUGUGAAGAAGGCCUUUUGGUUGUAAAGCACUUUAAGCGAGGAGGAGGCUACUUGGAUUAAUACUCUAGGAUAGUGGACGUUACUCGCAGAAUAAGCACCGGCUAACUCUGUGCCAGCAGCCGCGGUAAUACAGAGGGUGCGAGCGGUAAUCGGAUUUACUGGGCGUAAAGCGUGCGUAGGCGGCUUUUUAAGUCGGAUGUGAAAUCCCUGAGCUUAACUUAGGAAUUGCAUUCGAUACUGGGAAGCUAGAGUAUGGGAGAGGAUGGUAGAAUUCCAGGUGUAGCGGUGAAAUGCGUAGAGAUCUGGAGGAAUACCGAUGGCGAAGGCAGCCAUCUGGCCUAAUACUGACGCUGAGGUACGAAAGCAUGGGGAGCAAACAGGAUUAGAAACCCUAGUAGUCC
rnacentral:rRNA from 1 species